AAAUAGGAUACAGCUUCAACAUAAGUCAAGUCUAUGGCAUUGUCAGGUCGUAAUGCCAUAACUAGGACAGUUAAAUGGAAAAACAUAUCACAUUAAAUAGGUUCUGAAGUGCCACCAGAGCUUUGAUGGGGGAAAAGGGAAGUAUGUGUGGUGUUUUUUUUUUUUUUUAUUUUUUUUUUUUUUAACUAAAUGUGCGCUGGUGAUUAAUAUUUACACAAAAGUUUUACAAGAGUGACGUUGUCUUAAUCCUAAUGGAUUUACAUUAAACAGCCCGAGAGGGGUUUAAGUUAAAAUUUUAUCAGUCUGUGAGCUUAGGGGUGGUUUCUUCUGGUUAAAUGUGUGUCUAGAGAAGCAGUAACAGACUUCAGGAUGCCAUUGGGUUAAUGUUCUAUCUCUCCAUUGGCUUGAGUCAUCCUUUCCUGGAUAUUUGUGUACUUCCUGUAAACCUGAGAAAAAUAUUUCGUUGUUGUUUGUGCUUUUACUGAUCCGCUCUCCUCAUUCCCAGUAAAAUAAUCAAAAACACAUGUGAACCGAGAUGAAAAUACUCUUACGGAGUCAACGCCCCCUGUGUGUUUUCAUUUACUGCUCUAAGUUUAGCUGAAGCUGUAUUGCAGAUCUGAAGGGCCUAAUUUGAAGGAGGUAAAAGUGUUCAUUCAUCAAGGACUGGGUGUGUCCAGCUGGAUGGCAGUUCCACAGGAGAUGUAGGUCAUGGAGCGCUGUAUGACUAGCAGUAUGUUUACACAGGAAAAACUAGGAAACCAGACGCCUGAAAAUAGGAUGCACCUGGAAGCGAGAGGGAGGCUGUUUGUGUAACGUGAGAAUGAGGUAAUAACGUUUACACGGCGGAUCACACUCAAUAACUUUCCACAACAGGGUAUUAGAUCUGAGGUUUAGGAAAUAAUGUCACUCCAUUGAAAAAUGGCACAAACAGCCUACCGUGAGCUUAUAUUUACAUGAGAGGACAAACAAGUACAAAUCCCAGAGCGCUUUAACUCACUCACAUGCAAAGCCAGCCACACUUCACCACGCCUUGACAUAUAGAAAGCCGCCC
ensembl:lncRNA